rnacentral:rRNA from 1 species
AAAUUGAAGAGUUUGAUCAUGGCUCAGAUUGAACGCUGGCGGCAGGCCUAACACAUGCAAGUCGAACGGUAACAGGAAGAAGCUUGCUUCUUUGCUGACGAGUGGCGGACGGGUGAGUAAUGUCUGGGAAACUGCCUGAUGGAGGGGGAUAACUACUGGAAACGGUAGCUAAUACCGCAUAACGUCGCAAGACCAAAGAGGGGGGACCUUCGGGCCUCUUGCCAUCGGAUGUGCCCAGAUGGGAUUAGCUAGUAGGUGGGGUAACGGCUCACC